UGUAGCUGCUCCAAAAUUCACCAUUCGGGGUAAAGCAAGAUUAUCUGAGGGAAUCUAAUCUAAUCAUGUGAGCCCUUUAAAUGCUGGCAAGAAAAAAAGAAAGUCAGAGAGAUUUGAAGCACAGGGGGGAUUCAAUGCAUCCGUACUGGCUUGAAGAUGAAGGACUCCCCUAAGAAGGAAUGUGGGUGGCCUUAGCAGCUGAGAGAGGCCCCAGCUGACAGCUAGCAAGAAAAUGAUGACUGCAGGCCAGGUGCGGUGGCUCACGUCUUUAAUCUCAGCACUUUGGG
rnacentral:lncRNA from 1 species